rnacentral:rRNA from 1 species
GGAUUUAUUGGGUGUAAAGGGUGCGUAGACGGAAAUGCAAGUUAGUUGUGAAAUACCUCGGCUUAACUGAGGAACUGCAACUAAAACUAUAUUUCUUGAGUAUCGGAGGGGUUUGUGGAAUUCCUAGUGUAGCGGUGAAAUGCGUAGAUAUUGGGAAGAACACCGGUGGCGAAGGCGACAAACUGGACGAUAACUGACGUUGAGGCACGAAAGUGUGGGGAGCAAACAGGAUUAGAUACCCUGGUAGUCCACACCGUAAACGAUGGAUACUAGGUGUUGGCAAUGAAUAAUUGUCGGUGCCGGCGCUAACGCAAUAAGUAUCCCACCUGGGGAGUACGACCGCAAGGUUGAAACUCAAAGGAAUUGACGGGGGCCCGCACAAGCGGUGGAGCAUGUGGUUUAAUUCGAAGCAACGCGAAGAACCUUACCAGGUCUUGACAUCCCUCUGACCGCUCUAGAGAUAGAGUUUUCCUUCGGGACAGAGGUGACGGGUGGUGCAUGGUUGUCGUCAGCUCGUGUCGUGA